UACGGGGGGGGCAAGCGUUGUUCGGAAUUACUGGGCGUAAAGGGCUUGUAGGUGGCCAACUAAGUCAGACGUGAAAUCCCUCGGCUUAACCGGGGAACUGCGUCUGAUACUGGAUGGCUAGAGUUUGGGAGAGGGAUGCGGAAUUCCAGGUGUAGCGGUGAAAUGCGUAGAUAUCUGGAGGAACACCGGUGGCGAAGGCGGCAUCCUGGACCGACACUGACGCUGAGGAGCGAAAGCCAGGGGAGCAAACGGG
rnacentral:rRNA from 1 species